rnacentral:lncRNA from 10 species
AGAAAAUAUUUUCCGUGUCCCCGCCUGCAGAGUCAGUGUGCGGUUUGGGAGAAAAUGUGUCGGAUAUUUUGGGGCGGUCACGUGGGCGGGCGGGCUCCGAGAGGCCCCGGGACAGUCCCAGCCUAGAGCCGUGCCCCCCCAGGAGCCCCCCAGUACGGCGAGCCCCGGACAUUGCGACGCUCCAUCCAAGAGACUGCCCGACGCCGGGACCUCGGGGCUCCGCCGCCUCCCUUCCCCCUCCCACUCCAGCAGCUACGGCCCAGUUCCCUCAACCUGACCCAGUAUGUAGAAGCCAGUCUCUGCAGGCGGCCAGCGGACCCUCCCCUUCUCUUCCCAGCCACGACAGAACCAAGGCUCAGAAAUGGGAGGAAUCUCUACCCCCUUCCUCUCUUCACUCAACUCCCAAGUCCCUUCUCUGAGGCAAAAUAAGAGGAAGGCCAAGGACAACUCUCAUUGGCUCACAUGCAGCAUCAUUCCUUGGACUUUUGGAGGCCCAGUGGGCAGGCCAGGCAGGGCGGGUACGGAGCCUCCCAGGCUGGGGCAGUGGGCAUGGGCAGGGG